UGUUCAUAUUUUCUUGCAAAAUAAAAGAAGUGGAAUUCCUUUACAGUGGCAUCUUCGUGACUCGGCUAGAUGUUCUAAGCAGGCAAAGGAACUACUUACAAUAUGCACCACUUAAAGUCCAGACAGAUGUGAGAAAAAAAUUCUUCUAAAAAUUUUAAUUUGGGGAGAAAAGUCAUGCAAGUAUUUAACUCACCAUUCACUCUUUUUAAAAAGACAACUUAUGGAAACUACACUUUUGAAUGAAUUGCUUUGAUAACAUUUGUGUUCCAUUUCAUGACAUUGAUGUUGUAUUAAACUGAUGAAAAUUUAUCCC
rnacentral:lncRNA from 1 species